rfam:Angiostrongylus cantonensis strain Taiwan genome assembly, scaffold: ACAC_contig0011970
GCCUCUAUAGCUCAGUGGCAGAGCGUCUGUCUCCUAGACAGAAUGUCUGCGGUUCAAUCCCGCAUGGAGGCA